CUACGGGUUGCUGCAGUGGGGAAUUUUGCGCAAUGGGCGAAAGCCUGACGCAGCAAUACCGCGUGAGUGAAGAAGGCCUUUGGGUCGUAAAGCUCUUUUGUAAGGGAAGAUAGUGACGGUACCUUACGAAUAAGCACCGGCUAACUCCGUGCCAGCAGCCGCGGUAAUACGGAGGGUGCAAGCGUUGUUCGGAUUUACUGGGCGUAAAGGGCACGUAGGCGGCAUAGUAAGUUAAGGGUGAAAUCCCGGGGCUCAACUCCGGAACUGCUCUUAAAACUGCUAAGCUAGAGAUAGUCAGAGGCGGGUAGAAUUCCUGGUGUAGAGGUGAAAUUCGUAGAUAUCAGGAGGAAUACCGGUGGCGAAGGCGGCCCGCUGGGGCUAUUCUGACGCUAAUGUGCGAAAGCGUGGGGAGCGAACGGGAUUAGAUACCCUCGUAGUC
rnacentral:rRNA from 1 species